GCAAACUUGGUCAUUUAGAGGAAGUAAAAGUCGUAACAAGGUCUUCGUAGGUGAACCUGCGAAGGGAUCAUUACCGAGUGAGGGCCCCUGGCCCGACCUCCCACCCUUUGUUAAACUACCGCGUUGCCUCGGGGGUGACCCGGCCGUGGCCGCCGGGACCCCCGAUGGACCACAUUAAAACUCUUUGCGUACAUGCGUCAGAGUAUGAAGUAAAUCAAUCAAAACUUUCAACAACGGAUCUCUUGGUUCUGGCAUCGAUGAAGAACGCAGC
rnacentral:misc_RNA from 1 species